rnacentral:lncRNA from 1 species
CCUUCAAAACCUGCACUUAUCUUUCUAUUUUUCUGUAUCUAUCUAUCUAUCUAUCUAUCUAUCUAUCUAUCUAUCUAUCUAUCCAUCCAUCCUGUCUACUUAACUCUCCAUUUCCAGACAUACUUAGAAUGAAAACUUUAAUUUGCAAUUGGUGAAAAUAUCCUGAAUCAGGAGGCAGUUUUGAUUGGUAUAUACCUAAUUGGCUCCUCUCUUGCUGUGAGUCUCUUAUUCUUUUAAGUAUCCAUGUAUUCUAGAGAAAGUCCCCAAACACAACUGCCAAAAAUGGCCCUCUAUUUCUAAGUUACCCAUUUCUGAUAAUCUAGUUGGAUUAUCCUGUUUUUCUUCCUCCUCCUCUCUUCUAAUUAAUUUUUUUUUAGUCUUUUAGUAUUUUUGCCAACAUCACUUCUAAGAAUUUGUCCUCUGGCUUUCCUGGUACUCAGACCUUUUCACACCCUGGGAGCCCCUCCUGAGCCUCCUGCACUGGAUCCCCUUCCCCACAACUUCUCAAUGUUGGACGGCCCUGGAACCCUGUCCUAAGACCACUUCUCUGGUCCAGCUGACCUCAUUUCCCAGAUUGUUUGAUUAUGGGAUCAAGCUGCAAUUUCCUCUGACCUUCUGAGAACUAUGUACCCAUUUAGAACCCACAUCAGAGCUUUUCCAGAAUGGUUUUCCUUGGGCAUUUUAAUCCCCCUCUGAAAGACACUCUGACUCACUGGCUGCUGAGACUCCAGUACUUCUGCUUCAAUAACCGGUUCUUCCCGGUGGAGCUGGAGGACUCUGUGUUCAGUGGAAUAACACAAUGAUGGUGACCAGAAGUGAACCCAGCCUCAUUCUCUUCACGGCUCCUUCCCUGACAUGCUGGCUUCACCUGCCUCACUUCUGUUCUCAGCAGUUCACAGGGCAGUCCAGGUGAGCAGUUUUUGACUCUGUCCUAUCCUGAAGUGACCACAGGGACAGUGCCUGGUAUCUGCCAUGAACCAUUGAGGGGCAAUGAAGCAGCGGUCAGGGC